rnacentral:rRNA from 1 species
AUUGAACGCUGGCGGCAUGCCUUACACAUGCAAGUCGAACGGCAGCACGGGAGCAAUCCUGGUGGCGAGCGGCGAACGGGUGAGUAAAGUAUCGGAACGUGCCCAGUCGUGGGGGAUAACGUAGCGAAAGUUACGCUAAUACCGCAUACGAUCUAUGGAUGAAAGCGGGGGAUCGCAAGACCCCGCGCGGUUGGAGCGGCCGAUAUCAGAUUAGGUAGUUGGUGGGGUAAAGGCCCACCAAGCCGACGAUCUGUAGCUGGUCUGAGAGGACGACCAGCCACACUGGGACUGAGACACGGCCCAGACUCCUACGGGAGGCAGCAGUGGGGAAUUUUGGACAAUGGGCGAAAGCCUGAUCCAGCCAUGCCGCGUGCAGGAUGAAGGCCUUCGGGUUGUAAACUGCUUUUGUACGGAACGAAAAGGACUGCCCUAAUACGGUGGUCCCAUGACGGUACCGUAAGAAUAAGCACCGGCUAACUACGUGCCAGCCGCCGCGGUAA